UACGGAGGGUGCGAGCGUUAAUCGGAAUUACUGGGCGUAAAGCGUGCGCAGGCGGUUGUGCAAGACAGAUGUGAAAUCCCCGGGCUCAACCUGGGAAUUGCAUUUGUGACUGCACGGCUAGAGUGUGUCAGAGGGGGGUAGAAUUCCACGUGUAGCAGUGAAAUGCGUAGAGAUGUGGAGGAAUACCGAUGGCGAAGGCAGCCCCCUGGGAUAACACUGACGCUCAUGCACGAAAGCGUGGGGAGCAAACAGG
rnacentral:rRNA from 1 species